UUUUUUUUUUUUUUUUGAGAUGGAGUCUCGCUCUGUAGCCCAGGCUAGCGUGCAAUGGCACAGUCUCAGCUCACUGCAACCUCUGCCUCCUGGGUUCAAGUGAUUCUCGUGACUCAGCCUCCCGAAUAGCUGGGAUUACGAGUGCCCACCACCUUGCCCAGCUAAUUUUUGUAUUUUUAGUAGAGACGGGGUUUCGCCAUGUUGGCCAGGCUGGUCUCAAACUCCUGACCUCCGGUGAUCCACCCACCUCGGCCUCCCAAAGUGCUAGGAUUACAGGCGUGAGCCACCGUGUCCGGCCUACAAAUCCUUUCAAAACCUGGCUCCCCUGGUCUCUUUCAAGAAGGCCGCCAGCUUCAGACCCUCCUGCCCCUGCCUCUCCUGCUGCCCCACGUCGCUGUUCCUCAGCAGGUGUGUCUAGUAAAGAGUGCUGCGAACUGCCUUGCAGGUGUGUGGAUCCACCUGGGCACUGUCUCUGAGCACAGCCCCUCCUCCAGUUCACUGCGCCAAGCCAGAAACCUGGGUGCACCCUGACCCCUCCUGCUCUGCACCUGCUGUCUGCUUUCAGUCCCGGGUUGACCUGGUCUCCUUGAUCUCUGCUCCCCCUGCUCUUCCCCGUGCCCCACAGUGACCCUCGCCUGCUCCUCCGUCACGGGAUCAUUGCAGCAGCACUCUUCAUGCUCCUGGUCACUUCCUCCACAACCCCAGAGUCAUCUCAUAACAAGUCAGCCUGCCUUAACAGUUUCCAUGUCACACAAACAGCUUGAGAGAGGCUGUGCAACUCACCCACAGCAGCCGCGAUCUGGGCCUCCUCCUAUGUUCCCCUGUUCAGACCCCUGCUCCAUGAACUGGGCGGACCCAUGUCCACUAAAGUGCUGAGGAAGUGACAGCGUGUGAUUUCUGAGGCUAGAUCAUAAAGGGCACAGCAGUUCUCACCUCACUCUUCUGCCUGGGUUACUGCAGAGUAAGCCAGCUACCAGUAAGCCACCCCAGCAACCCUUUGGAGAGGCAUGCGUGGAGAGCAGCCAAGGCCCUGGUGGUCCCCGGCCUCCUUGCCGUGUGAGUGAACCGUGCUGGAAGUGGGUUUUCUGGCUCCAGACCUCAGACACUGCAGCCUGUAUGGCGUCUUCCCUGAGACCUCAUAUGACCUCAAACUCAUACACUGGGUCUGUGGAAGGGAGCAGAUAACCUCUCUGUUUCUAGUUCUUAGACUAAGAGGAACUGGACACCAGGAGCCUCAUACCAGGACUGCCCAGCCGAGCCACUCGAUUCCUGACCCACAUGGCCCUUGAGAUGACAAGUGAUUGCUGCUUAAAGUCACUGAGUUCUGGAAUAAUUUACAUCAUGGCAAUAGGAGCAGUUCACCCAUCUCAGUUAAUCAAGCUCCGCGUCUUCUGCAGACUAAUCAAACCACUCAUGGAACCAAAGAAUGAGGAAAAGGCAGAUGGUAUCCCAGAAAGGUGUCUUCUCCAACAGCCAGAUACUUUUCAUCAGAACAGAGGCUGGUGUGCCGCUGGCUCUGGGCUCCUCCACACCCACAGGGCAGCACCACUGUCUCCAGUGCACACUGCACAGAAGCAGCUCUGGGUGCUUUGGUCAAUAACCCAUCUUCGUGGCUCGUGGAUAUUUCUUGUUAGUCUUAGGCUUCCAUCGUGACCUUUCUGAGUGCCCCUCAAUCUCAUUAACUCCCCUUUCAAGGCUCUGUCCCCAGAAAACAAGCUUCAGGUUGUGACCCUGUUUCCUCACAUUCAUUUCUGAUAC
rnacentral:lncRNA from 1 species